rnacentral:misc_RNA from 1 species
GAUGAAGAACGUAGUGAAAUGCGAUAAGUAGUGUGAAUUGCAGAAUUCAGUGAAUCAUCGAAUCUUUGAACGCACAUUGCGCCCCUUGGUAUUCCAUGGGGCAUGCCUGUUCGAGCGUCAUUUGUACCUUCAAGCUCUGCUUGGUGUUGGGUGUUUGUCUCGCCUCUGCGCGUAGACUCGCCUCAAAACAAUUGGCAGCCGGCGUAUUGAUUUCGGAGCGCAGUACAUCUCGCGCUUUGCACUCAUAACGACGACGUCCAAAAGUACAUUUUUACACUCUUGACCUCGGAUCAGGUAGGGAUACCCGCUGAACUUAAGCAUAUCAAUAAGCGGAG